rnacentral:rRNA from 1 species
UACGUAGGGGGCAAGCGUUGUCCGGAUUUAUUAGGCGUAAAGAGCGUGUAGGCGGUUAGGUAGGUCCGUUGUGAAAACUCGAGGCUCAACCUCGAGACGCCGAUGGAAACCAUCUGACUAGAGUCCGGAAGAGGAGAGUGGAAUUCCUGGUGUAGCGGUGAAAUGCGCAGAUAUCAGGAAGAACACCUAUUGCGAAGGCAGCUCGCUGGGACGUAACUGACGCUGAGACGCGAAAGCGUGGGGAGCAAACAGG